GCGACAGUGGCUCAGUUGGUGGAGUACGACCUUGCCAAGGUCGGGGUCGCGGGUUCGAACCCCGUCUGUCGCU
rnacentral:tRNA from 1 species